rnacentral:miRNA from 1 species
GGCGACUUGCCCGGAAUCAAAC